GAUGAACGCUGGCGGCGUGCUUAACACAUGCAAGUCGAACGAAGCAUUUAGAACGGAUUACUUCGGUUUGAAGUUCUUUAUGACUGAGUGGCGGACGGGUGAGUAACGCGUGGGUAACCUGCCUUGUACUGGGGGAUAGCAGCUGGAAACGGCUGGUAAUACCGCAUAAGCGCACAAUGUUGCAUGACAUGGUGUGAAAAACUCCGGUGGUAUAAGAUGGACCCGCGUCUGAUUAGCUAGUUGGUGAGAUAACAGCCCACCAAGGCGACGACCAGUAGCCGACCUGAGAGGGUGACCGGCAACAUUGGGACUGAGACACGGCCCAGACUCCUACGGGAGGCAGCAGUGGGGAAUAUUGCACAAUGGAGGAAACUCUGAUGCAGCGACACCGCGUGAGUGAAGAAGUAAUUCGUUAUGUAAAGCUCUAUCAGCAGGGAAGAUAGUGACGGUACCUGACUAAGAAGCUCCGGCUAAAUACGUGCCAGCAGCCGCCGCGG
rnacentral:rRNA from 1 species